rnacentral:rRNA from 1 species
AUUGAACGCUGGCGGCAUGCCUUACACAUGCAAGUCGAACGGCAGCACGGGUGCUUGCACCUGGUGGCGAGUGGCGAACGGGUGAGUAAUACAUCGGAACAUGUCCUGUAGUGGGGGUUAGCCCGGCGAAAGCCGGAUUAAUACCGCAUACGAUCUACGGAUGAAAGCGGGGGACCUUCGGGCCUCGCGCUAUAGGGUUGGCCGAUGGCUGAUUAGCUAGUUGGUGGGGUAAAGGCCUACCAAGGCGACGAUCAGUAGCUGGUCUGAGAGGACGACCAGCCACACUGGGACUGAGACACGGCCCAGACUCCUACGGGAGGCAGCAGUGGGGAAUUUUGGACAAUGGGCGAAAGCCUGAUCCAGCAAUGCCACGUGUGUGAAGAAGGCCUUCGGGUUGUAAAGCACUUUUGUCCGGAAAGAAAUCCUUGGCCCUAAUACGGUCGGGGGAUGACGGUACCGGAAGAAUAAGCACCGGCUAACUACGUG